GAUGAACGCUAGCUACAGGCUUAACACAUGCAAGUCGAGGGUCCGGCGCACGGGUGUGUAACACGUAUCCAUCCUGCCUUUUACUCGGGGAUAGCCUUUCGAAAGAAAGAUUAAUACCUGAUAUAAAGGAUGGGGAUGCGUUCCAUUAGGUUGUGGGGGAGGUAACGGCCCACCAAGCCUUCGCUGGAUAGGGGUUCUGAGAGGAAGGUCCCCCACAUUGGAACUGAGGUCCAGUCCAAACUCGUACGGGAGGCAGCAGUGAGGAAUAUUGGUCAAUGGGCGCUAGCCUGAACCAGCCAAGUAGCGUGAAGAAUGAAGGCGUUUGGGUCGUAAACUUCUUUUAUAUAAGAAUAUGUAUUAUAUGAAUAAGGAUCGGCUAACUCCGUGCCAGCAGCCGCGGUAAUUC
rnacentral:rRNA from 1 species